rnacentral:rRNA from 1 species
CGGGCUUUCUAUCAUAUCCAUAACACCUGUGCACUUGUUGGAUGAUCUAAAGACAUAGGGUAAAACCUAAAGUCAAUAGUCAUCCACUUACACUAAACAAUAAUGUAACAAAUGUAGUCUUAUUAUAACAAAAUAAAACUUUCAACAACGGAUCUCUUGGCUCUCGCAUCGAUGAAGAACGCAGCGAAAUGCGAUAAGUAAUGUGAAUUGCAGAAUUCAGUGAAUCAUCGAAUCUUUGAACGCACCUUGCGCUCCUUGGUAUUCCGAGGAGCAUGCCUGUUUGAGUGUCAUGAAAACCCUCAACCUUAGAUUGGUUAUUUGACCUUUCUUUGGCUUGGAUUUGGACGUUUGCCGAUGUCAAGUCGGCUCGUCUUAAAAGUAAUAGCUGGAUCUGUCUCGCGACAUGGUUUGACUUGGCGUAAUAAGUAUUUCGCUAAGGACAUCUUCGGAUGGCCCUGUUGCAGGACUAAAGACCGCUUUCUAAUCCAUUGAUCUUCGGAUUAAUAUUCAUAACAUCUGGCCUCAAAUCAGGUAGGACUACCCGCUGAACUUAAGCAUAUCAAUAAGCGGAGGA